rnacentral:rRNA from 1 species
UACGAAGGGGGCUAGCGUUGCUCGGAAUCACUGGGCGUAAAGGGUGCGUAGGCGGGUCUUUAAGUCAGAGGUGAAAGCCCGGGGCUCACCCCCGGAAGUGCAUUGGAAACUGAUGGACUCGAGUCCCGGAGAGGAGAGUGGAAUUCCUGGUGUAGCGGUGAAAUGCGUAGAUAUCAGGAGGAACACCGGUGGCGAAGGCGGCUCUCUGGACGGUGACUGACGCUGAGACGCGAAAGCGUGGGGAGCAAACAGG